rnacentral:rRNA from 1 species
UACGGAGGGUGCAAGCGUUGUCCGGAAUCACUGGGCGUAAAGGGCGCGUAGGCGGCUCAUGAAGGCUGUGGUGAAAGUCCGGGGCUCAACCUCGGAUCGGCCGUGGCGACUCGUGGGCUGGAGCACUGUAGAGGCGGGUGGAAUUUCGGGUGUAGCGGUGGAAUGCGUAGAGAUCCGGAAGAACACCAGUGGCGAAGGCGGCCCGCUGGGCAGUGGCUGACGCUGAGGCGCGAAAGCGUGGGGAGCAAACAGG